UACAGAGGUCUCAAGCGUUGUUCGGAUUCAUUGGGCGUAAAGGGUGCGUAGGCGGCGCGGUAAGUCGGGUGUGAAAUCUCGGAGCUUAACUCCGAAACUGCAUUCGAUACUGCCGUGCUUGAGGACUGGAGAGGAGACUGGAAUUUACGGUGUAGCGGUGAAAUGCGUAGAUAUCGUAAGGAAGACCAGUGGCGAAGGCGGGUCUCUGGACAGUUCCUGACGCUGAGGCACGAAAGGCCAGGGGGAGCAAAACGGA
rnacentral:rRNA from 1 species